CCUACGGGUGGCAGCAGUGAGGAAUAUUGGUCAAUGGGCGGGAGCCUGAACCAGCCAAGUCGCGUGAGGGAAGAAGGUACUGAGUAUUGUAAACCUCUUUUGCCAGGGGACAAAGGCGGCCACGGGUGGCCGUAAGAGGGUACCUGGAGAAAAAGCAUCGGCUAACUCCGUGCCAGCAGCCGCGGUAAUACGGAGGAUGCGAGCGUUAUCCGGAUUUAUUGGGUUUAAAGGGUGCGUAGGCGGUUUUUUAAGUUAGUGGUUAAACGUCGGGGCUUCACCUUGAUUUGCCAUUAAUACUGUAAGACUCGAGUUCAGACGAGGUAGGCGGAAUAAGUUAAGUAGCGGUGAAAUGCUUAGAUAUAACUUAGAACUCCGAUAGCGAAGGCAGCUUACCAGACUGCGACUGACGCUGAAGCACGAGAGCGUGGGUAGCGAACAGGAUUAGAUACCCCUGUAGUC
rnacentral:rRNA from 1 species